AGGGCGGUAACUCAGUCUGGCCAGAGUGCUUGUCUCCAAAACAAGAAGCCGCAGGUUCAAAUCCUGUCCGCCCUG
rnacentral:tRNA from 1 species